CUAGCUGCAAAAGAAAAUGGGAUACAGUGUUUAGCAAACAACCCACUUCCUAGUAAUCUUUACUCAUAGCUGGUUUCUACUGUCUCUACGCUCUGCAUGUCACUCCACUAGCCAUACUUCUCCCAACUAUAUAUAUCUCCAAACUCCUAUCCUUUAUUUCUAUGAACCAUCAAAAGCUAAGAGAACUUUUUUUCUCUCAAGAUUAACCACCAUGAAAAUCCACCUUCUUUCUCUUGUUUUUCUCUUCUUUUCCUUAGCCCAGGGAUUGAACUCCAACCCCAAAUGUAACACCCAAGACCAAGGCUCAACCCUUCAAGUGUUUCAUAUUUAUAGCCCAUGCUCCCCAUUUAGACCCUCAAAGCCACUCUCAUGGGAAGAGAGUGUGCUCCAAAUGCAAGCCAAGGACCAAGCUAGGCUUCAAUAUUUGUCAAGCUUGGUUGCUAGGAAAUCUGUGGUGCCGGUUGCCUCAGGCAGGCAGAUUACUCAGAGCCCAACCUAUAUUGUUAGGGCUAAGAUUGGAACUCCAGCCCAGACCAUGCUCUUAGCCAUGGAUACUAGCAAUGAUGUUGCUUGGCUUCCUUGCAGUGGGUGUGUUGGGUGUUCUUCUGCAGUUUUCAACUCUGCAAAAUCUACUACCUUCAAAACCCUUGGCUGCCAAGCUGCUCAGUGCAAGCAGGUACCCAACGCCAUCUGUGGUGGCAAAGCAUGCACAUUCAACAUGACCUACGGCAGCUCGUCCAUAGCAGCAAACCUCUCGCAGGACAAUAUCACUCUAGCCACUGACUCAGUACCUGGCUACACCUUUGGUUGCAUUACAAAAGCCACAGGCAGAUCAGUCCCUCCCCAGGGGCUUCUGGGCUUGGGCAGAGGACCAUUGUCUCUUUUGUCUCAGUCCCAAAAACUUUACAAAUCCACUUUCUCAUACUGCCUUCCUAGCUUUAGGUCUCUAAGCUUUUCUGGCUCACUGAGGCUUGGACCCAUUGGGCAACCGAAGAGGAUUAAGACUACACCAUUGCUAAAGAAUCCUAGGAGAUCGUCACUUUACUAUGUUAACUUGGUCGCAAUUAGAGUUGGAAGAAGAGUUGUUGACAUUCCUCCUAGCGCUUUGGCUUUCAAUCCGACCACCGGUGCUGGAACCAUCUUUGAUUCCGGAACUGUAUUCACCAGGCUUGUCACUCCAGCCUACACGGCAGUCCGGGAUGCAUUCCGAAAGCGAGUGGGCUAUGCAACGGUGACAUCCCUAGGCGGAUUCGACACAUGUUACUCCGUACCAAUCGUAGCACCCACCAUAAAAUUCAUGUUCUCCGGCAUGAAUGUGACAUUACCACCAGAAAACCUACUAAUCCACAGCACAGCCGGUAGCAUCACAUGCCUAGCCAUGGCUGCAGCACCAGAUAACGUGAAUUCAGUGCUAAAUGUUAUAGCCAAUAUGCAGCAGCAAAACCAUAGGAUACUUUAUGAUGUGCCCAACUCAAGGAUUGGCGUGGCACGAGAGCGAUGCACAUGAAUUUCAAGUGAUGGCCUUUAUAUCUUUUGGUCAUGGUAGUGUUUGUUGAUUAGAUAUGUCUUGUGAUUUGUGAUGGAAGGAGUGUAGAGUGAGAUAAAAUUGAAGUGGUUUCAUAGUUAUAUUGCUUUUGUAUUUUGAAGUCACGGGUAGUUAUCUGUGGCGGUGUUUGUCUUUUUAAAGCAUCCAAAAGAUGGUACCAUGUCACGGGUUCCUUGCAAUUUCUUUUUUUGCAAUAUUUUUUAUUAUUUACAAUAAAUUAUUAGGUAAAUUCGAUUUAUUAGGCAUUCAUAGACUAAAUUAGCUAAAUCAUUUUAUGUUAAUACUAUAAUUAUAAAUAAAUAUGAAUGUCACCUUGAGGAGUAAUAUCUAGAGGUCUUAUUGGCAGUAUGAGAUUAUGGCCAGCUGAUCUUUAAAGGCUACAGUACCAGUUGGGCGGGGAGACUAUGGCUGCCUCUGCUUUUGAAGCUAGUUAGAGCUCUGUGUUUGGAGGCCUUGGCCCUUGUUUUAGAGAGUUUUCUUUGGGCCUUAAGCAUUAUGUGUUUAAUUUUUUUGUGUUCAUUGGACUACUUAAAAACUGAUACAACAAUGUUCUUAAAUUUUAAUUUUUUAUCAAAACAAA
rnacentral:misc_RNA from 1 species